GCGGUGGUGGUUCAGUGGUAGAAUUCUCACCUCCUGUGAGGGAGGCUCAGGUUCAAUUCCCGGCCAAUGCA
rnacentral:tRNA from 1 species